GGCGAACGCUGGCGGCGUGCUUAACACAUGCAAGUCGAACGGAAAGGCCCUGCUUUUGUGGGGUGCUCGAGUGGCGAACGGGUGAGUAACACGUGAGUAACCUGCCCUUGACUUUGGGAUAACUUCAGGAAACUGGGGCUAAUACCGGAUAGGAGCUCCUGCUGCAUGGUGGGGGUUGGAAAGUUUCGGCGGUUGGGGAUGGACUCGCGGCUUAUCAGCUUGUUGGUGGGGUAGUGGCUACCAAGGCUUUGACGGGUAGCCGGCCUGGGAGGGUGACCGGCCACAUUGGGACUGAGAUACGGCCCAGACUCCUACGGGAGGCAGCAGUGGGGAAUAUUGCACAAUGGGCGGAAGCCUGAUGCAGCAACGCCGCGUGCGGGAUGACGGCCUUCGGGUUGUAAACCGCUUUCGCCUGUGACGAAGCGUGAGUGACGGUAAUGGGUAAAGAAGCACCGGCUAACUACGUG
rnacentral:rRNA from 1 species